rnacentral:tRNA from 1 species
GGGUGCUUAGCUCAGUUGGUUAGAGCACCUCGUUUACACCGAGGGUGUCGGGGGUUCGAGUCCCUCAGCGCCCA